rnacentral:ncRNA from 2 species
CGCAAAGGUAUCGAAGAUGGUUUCCAGCCGCUGAACAUGCGUCUGGGAUGAAAAGGGAAUACGGUAAGGAAGAGCUGUUAAGCGCCGAAACCGUAACUGCCCCCGCAACUGUGAGCGGUGAGUGACCCCGACGAACACCACUGAGCCUGUCGGGCUUGGGAAGGUUCGGGCGAACGCUGAUCCGCGAGUCAGGAGACCUGCCAUCAACGGCACCAAAAG